AUUCCAGCUCCAGUAGCGUAUAUUAAAGUUGUUGCAGUUAAAAAGCUCGUAGUUGGAUUUCUGGCAAGGCAGAGCUAACCUGGUACUAUGUAUCGUGUGUUGGACUCGGUCUGCCAUCCUUCCAGAAAAGCAUCAUACCCUUCAUUGGGCCGUGGUGAUAGAUCUGGAACUUUUACUUUGAAAAAAUUAGAGUGUUCAAAGCAGGCGUUACGCUAUGAAUACAUUAGCAUGGAAUAAUAAUUUAGGACUUCAGUUCUAUUUUGUUGGUUUCUAGGACCGAAGUAAUGAUUGAUAGGGAUAGUUGGGGGUGCUAGUAUUCAGCGGCCAGAGGUGAAAUUCUUGGAUUCGCUGAAGACUAACUUAUGCGAAAGCAUUCACCAAGGAUGUCUUCAUUG
rnacentral:rRNA from 1 species